UAUAGUCACUUUGUUUUAUUUUAUUUUAUUUUAUGUUUUCGCUCUGUUUAAGUAUGUAUGGAUAAGCAAUUUCUGCUUUCUUGUCUGCUUUGGAUUGCAGUCCUGAUGAUACUCCUUGGGAUGGAGGCACGUUUAAGUUGACCCUUCAAUUUACUGAGGAUUAUCCAAACAAGCCGCCCACUGUACGAUUUGUCUCCCGAAUGUUUCACCCAAACAUUUAUGCAGAUGGAAGUAUUUGUCUGGAUAUAUUGCAAAACCAGUGGAGUCCUAUAUAUGAUGUAGCUGCUAUACUCACUUCUAUUCAAGUAUCAUCUAAUAAAGUGUAAUCAAUAAUAUAUUAUGAUUAUCAAAUCCUGAAUUGGAAGUGAUACUUUCAAUUUCAUUGCUUUGUGAUCCCAACCCAAAUUCACCUGCAAACUCUGAAGCUGCUCGAAUGUUCAGUGAGAACAAGCGUGAGUACAAUCGAAGAGUGAGGGAAAUUGUGGAGCAAAGUUGGACAGCCGACUAAGCUCAUCUCGAUAUGCUCGCUGGCCUGUGAAGGCAUGAAUUAGAUUGCAUUGCUACCUAUGAUUCAUGCAAAGUCACCAAAAUCUGUCGUCCGUAUUCCUUGUUUUGAAUAUUAGCUUCAUAUUAUCUUUAUUUCAUGGUAGUUUAUGCAUCGUCCAUGUCAGUCUAUGUAAUAUAAAAUUAAAAUUCUGUCAACUUGCAUCGGGUUGUUGUCAACACGGUUCAAUGUAUAAGUUGUAGACUUGUAAUCAUCUGAAUUGGCCAUGAUCACAAGGAUUUAUUAAACCAGGUUCAAUUAUGAUUACAUUGUAUAAUUUCCCCCAUUCAAUGUUCGAUUGACUUUUGCUACCAGUA